UAAAGCGGGUAGGCGGCAGGUAAGUCGGUUUGAAAGCCUCGGUUCAACCGAGGUCCGCAUCGAAACUGCCAGGCUGUAGUNUAGGAGAGGAGAGCGGAAUUCCCAGUGUAGCGCUGAAAUGCGUAGAUAUUGGGAGGGAACACCGGUGGCGAAGGCGGCUNUCUGGACUAGUACUGACGCUGAGGCGCGAAAGCUAGGGGAGCGAACGGGAUUAGAUACCCCGGUAGUCCUAGCCGUAAACGAUGGGCAUUAGGUGUGGGAGGUAUCGACCUCUUCUGUGCCGCAGCUAACGCAUUAAGUGCCCCGCCUGGGGAGUACGGCCGCAAGAUUGAAACUCAAAGGAAUUGACGGGGGCCCGCACAAGCGGUGGAGCAUGUGGUUCAAUUCGACGCAACGCGAAGAACCUUACCAGGGCUUGACAUCCCACGAACCUGCCCGAAAGGGUAGGGUGCCCGCAAGGGAGCGUGGAGACAGGUGGUGCAUGGCUGUCGUCAGCUCGUGUCGUGAGAUGUUGGGUUAAGUCCCGCAACGAGCGCAACCCUCACCCCUUGUUGCCACCGGGUCAUGCCGAGCACUCUAGGGGAACUGCCAGCGUCAAGCUGGAGGAAGGCGGGGAUGACGUCAAGUCAUCAUGCCCCUUACGCCCUGGGCGACACACGUGCUACAAUGGCUGGUACAAAGGGAUGCAAGACCGCGAGGUGGAGCUAAUCCCAAAAAACCGGUCUAAGUUCAGAUUGCAGUCUGCAACUCGACUGCAUGAAGGAGGAAUCGCUAGUAAUCGCGCAUCAGCACGGCGCGGUGAAUACGUUCCCGGGCCUUGUACACACCGCCCGUCACACCACGAAAGUCGGCUGUACUCGAAGUCGCUGAGCCAACCCGCAAGGGGGGCAGGCGCCGAAGGUAU
rnacentral:rRNA from 1 species